UCUCUAAUUCCAAGACAAGCUAAGACCUAAAAUCCCUAGGACCCUAACGGCGGAGGACCCAAGAGAACUCUUGGAUCUCUUUCUCACUUUACCUGACUUGGCUGCCCCUUUCCCUUGUACCCAUUUCCACCUUUUUGCAUUAUAAUUUUAUAGAUUACACAUAACAGAUCUUGGGGAGUUGGGGAGUUAGGCAAGGGAAAAGCGGAUAAAAGGGAUUUGAACACAGGCAAUAGACGAAGGCUAACUCGUCACAGAUCUAGCAGCAGCCAGCUCGAGCUUUCAACCAAAGUUUUAAACAAGUUGAAAAUUCUCUAAAUCCGGUGAGCUUUCGAAACUGUUGACAUUCGUCAAAAUUGGUUGAUUUCAACUGGUUUUUCUUUUAAAAAAAAAAAAACAAAGUUGAACUCUGUUUUUGCCAAUUUGUAUCAAAAUUGGGAUGUUGAAAUCGUUUGACGUCGCUGACGAGGUUCGUACGAGUUGGUGUGUCGGGUUUCAAACGUGGUCCCUUUUGCGGUUGAAAUUUUGUUGUCGAUUUCUAAGCUUUGAUCCAUCGAUGCUUCGAGCAGUCCUGCACAAUUGAGAUUCAAAAGUGUGAACAUCAGAUGGUUGGGCUUAUGGUGACAUUGGAAUGCAUAAACGCAGGCACAACAUGUUGCAGCAUGUGAGAGCUGUUGGUUCGCUAACAGUUGCUUCUGUUUUACCGUCCAAGAGGACAACUAUGAAUCUAGGCAAUGGUCAUUUUGGAUAAACGACCCAGCACAUGCUCAAGAUGCAGCAAAUGGAUUCAGAUUACAUGAGUGUACAUUUGGUAUAUGUUCCAUAGGGUUUACAAAGUCGAACAAGGCUGCAAUUGUCACCCAUUAUGAUCGGUUAACGAAUUGUUCAUUUUAGAUCAAAUGUGAUAUCAAGGUUGAGUUUAAUGCUCAACAUUGAUACUACGUGUCAUGUAAAAGUCAACUUUUAUCACUUUCAUUAUGAUUAGACCACCUGACAAUGUA